AUUGAACGCUGGCGGCAGGCUUAACACAUGCAAGUCGAGCGGAGCGAGGGUGCUUGCACCUUAGCUUAGCGGCGGACGGGUGAGUAAUGCUUAGGAAUCUGCCUAUUAGUGGGGGACAACAUUCCGAAAGGAAUGCUAAUACCGCAUACGCCCUACGGGGGAAAGCAGGGGAUCUUCGGACCUUGCGCUAAUAGAUGAGCCUAAGUCGGAUUAGCUAGUUGGUGGGGUAAAGGCCUACCAAGGCGACGAUCUGUAGCGGGUCUGAGAGGAUGGUACGGCACAAUGGGACUGAGAAACGGCCCAGAAUCCUACGGGAGGCAGCAGUGGGGGAUAUUGGACAAUGGGCGGAAGCCUGAUCCAGCCAUGUCGCGUGUGUGAAGAAGGCCUUUUGGUUGUAAAGCACUUUAAGCGAGGAGGGGGCUACUUAGAUUAAUACUCUGGGAUAGUGGACGUUACUCGCAGAAUAAGCACCGGCUAACUCUGUGCCAGCCGCCGCGGUAAGAC
rnacentral:rRNA from 1 species